ensembl:lncRNA
UGUUAGGUUGGGAAAGUUAACGAAUGACCCCAGGAGUCGUGCGACCACGAAGGUUUCAGGAGUGUCAGAAGAAGCUCCCUAUGAAACGCCGCGGGGAAGUGAAGUCUGAGCACAGAGGGCGACUGGACUCAGAAGCAGCGCGGUGCUGUGUGUUGCAAAGUUACAAUUCGAAAAUACCCAAACAGCCAAAACAAAAAGCUAGAAAAGAAGGGAGAUAAUCCGUCUAUGACGCCAGGAGCACUUAAAGGGUCACAAACUGCCAACAUUUUCUGUACAAACCAGGGAGCUUUUACUUUCUCGGCUUAGAUUCAAAACACACCUUUCUUUCUUUGAUCCCAGAUCAAUGAGCUGUAGAAACGGUUUCAACAAAUCUCCUAAACAAAGUCAACUGUAGUUGCUUAGUUUAUUACCUCAUGGUCAUUAUACAGAAAAACCUUUUCUUUUCUGCUGAAAGUGACAGCCCUAAAAAUUGCUCAAGCUUUAUUUGCAAGCAGUCCCUCUACUCGCUGAACUUUUUCAGUAAAAGCCCCUGCAGGAUUUGGCUCACGAAAAUAUUUCUGCUAAUUAGAGGGAAAGGGAAAUUUUGGCGUUUUAACAAGAUCAACUGGUUAAAAAAAGAUUCAGGUUUUGCUCCCUUCUUCUGUCCCUCACCCCAACUUGUCAGACAGAUGAAGCCUGAAGCAGACUUAAAACUGUAAGUGGCUGGCUCAUAAUGAAAUGAAGCUUAAAAACAUUUUUCUUUCUUUUUCUUUUUCUUUUUCUUUUUCUUUUUCUUUUUCUUUUUCUUUUUCUUUUUCUUUUUCUUUUUCUUUUUCUUUUUCUUUUCCUCUUUUUUUUCUUUUUCUUUUUCUUUUUCUUUUUCUUUUUCUUUUUCUUUUUCUUUUUCUUUUUCUUUUUCUUUUUUUAUAAUAAUAUCAGAAGAUAAUUAAACUAAAUUGAAUCAAAUACACCGGUUUUGGUAAGAGUGUUGGCCUGCACAACAGUCCAACACACCACAAGAGUGUGCUGGAUUGUGUGUGAUGAAGAUGUAGCAGAUCUUCCAGCAACCCUUUUCACAGAGCUGUUGCAGACUCAAAUCUAAGAAGCGUUUUUUUCCUGUAUGUAGCCAGAUGUGUAGCUCUUUGGUUUUUUAGCCCUUCCUUCUGAGAACGGUCUGAAAAUUCUUUAAGAUGUCUGAAAUGUGGCAGAUUUAUGCACUGCCUAUAUAUAUAUAUAUAUAUGCAUAUAUAUAUAUAUGCAUGAAGCAAAAUAUUCUUAAUCUCCGUUCGAGCCCUAUUUUCCUCAAAGCAUCUUGAGUUUCUAAAUGACAGACACUCAAAUCUGUCCUGUAGCCCUUUUGAAAGCGUUAAACCUCCCUCAUGCCCCAUGAGUGCCUAUGACAAUAGGCACACUAAAAGAACCCCAGACUUACCCUUACCUUAACCUUACCCAAACUCUUUUUCCAGUUAAAGAACGGCAUCACCAGAGCAGCUCCUUCCAGCCCCUUCCUAGGGGAAUGGUGAGUGCUCUCUGAACUUCACAGAGAUCGCUUAUGCCCUAGAGGCCAAAAGGUAUUCAGCUCUUUGCCUUUUGUUUGGUUUUGGGUUUUUUCUUUCCCUCUCUCAUUCAUUCACAAUAAAUCCCCAGUAACGUUCCGAUUUUUCUUAACACAGUCGAGUCCCUUACGUUGGUGUCACAUUGCAGCUGGAAGAGUUUGAUUUGUUGCUUUUUUUUCUGAGUGGGUUGGUUUGUGCAGUUUUUUCCUGUUGUUGUUGUUUUGGGGUUUUUUUGUAGUGUUUGGUUGAGUUUUGGGGGUUUUAUUUGCUUUUUUGUUGUUGUUGUUGGUUGGGGGGUUUUGGUGGUUUUUGUUUUGAUGGUCUUUGUGUGUGCAUGCGCGUGCGCAGUCUCUGCCUUGCUGAAGUAUAUGGAUGGAAAAGCAAGUGGGCCUAGUGUAGAAAAAAGAGAUUUCAGGCUAAGGUACUGCAUUAAAGUCAACUCAAGGUUUGUCCAUACAGAACAGGUGGCAGAAAAGAGAGGAGGUCAAAAUAACAACACACUAAUGCAGAGGAGCUGGAAACGUCAAGAAGCACUGGUUUUGUGCUCUGAAAAAAAAUCCAAACAAACAAACAAACAACUUGCACAUUAACAUACCAGAUUUUUGCCCAUUUCUGUAGCUGUGUGCUUUUCCAGUU